UACGGGGGGUGCGAGCGUUGUCCGGAAUCACUGGGCGUAAAGGGCGCGUAGGUGGCCUGAUAAGGGUGUGGUGAAAGUCCGGGGCUCAACCCCGGAUCGGCCGUGCCGACUGUUAGGCUAGAGUACUGUAGGGGCAGGCGGAAUUCCGGGUGUAGCGGUGGAAUGCGUAGAGAUCCGGAGGAAGACCGGUGGCGAAGGCGGCCUGCUGGGCAGUUACUGACACUGAGGCGCGACAGCGUGGGGGAGCAAACAGG
rnacentral:rRNA from 1 species